GUCUUUUGCAUAUACUUUUUCCAGUCAGUGGCUUUUCUUUUCUCUCUCUUGAUCCACACAAUUUUUUUAAAGGAUUGUAUCGUUUUAUACUGAAAGGCAUAGAGACAGUACAAAAUGAAAAGAUGCCUUUGACCCCAAACUUCUGCAUAUGGGAAGCAUGCUAAGAACAUGGCUAUUUUUUAUGAAAAAAAAAUAAUUUAGAGGGUAGAACCAAUAGCCCAGAGUGGAGAGCCAAGAGUCACAGUGAAUCAUUCUUAAACAGUACAACUGAGCCCUAAUCAAGUACCAGUACCUUUUGCCCAGCUUGAUUUCAAGCUUUUAAUGGACCAAUGACUUCUGUGUCUCUCCUUUCCUCCUUUUUUUUGGGAGUGUCUAUAGCAGUUAUCCUGUACUUGCUCCACCAUUGUGCAUUUGGUGUUUGUUAAGGCAGAUAAUUUUUCUUUUUUAGUUUAUAGCUCUUGAGAUUACAAGGAACUGUACGUAAGGGGCUGUAUUUGAGGAACUGUACCCAAGAAGUUCAUCCAUACCUGGACCUCAAGCCUCAGCCUGAUGUUGUAGGUCUUGAGGGAGUGCAUGAGUGUAUUUUGCUGCUGUGGCUAGAGGGUGGACUGUGGUAUUUUGCAUUUUCCAAAACUGACCUCAGCAAUAUUUGUGGUCCCACAUGCUCUUCUAAACUUUGUCACUUCCCAACAAGAGUUAGAGUUUAUUUCCCCUCCCCCUGAACCUGGGCUGUACUUUGCACUGUUGAAUAGAAUGUGGUGGGAGUGAAACUAUGGGACUUCCAAGGUGAGGUCAUAAAAGAUAGUACUGCUUCUGCCUAGCUCACUCAAGAACCCAGCCCCCAUAGUGUGAGGAGGCCUAGGACAGUUACAGAAGCCAUGUGUAGGUGUUCUGGCUCCAGCAAAAGUCUUAUCUGACAACAUCAACUACAUGUUAGUGGCCUUUCCUUGAAAUUGCUGGAGCUUGUGCAUCAUCAAAAUAAUGGCAUAAACCAAGGAAGAAGAAAACAAAAUUGAGGAAAUGGGAUCCAACACAAAAGAGAGACAACAGGAUUAAUUGAGUGUUGGUGAAAAGCCACAGCCUGUAAAUAAUGCAGUUCGAACUGAAAUAGACCAGGAGGCUCAAGGAGAGACUUCUUCAAGAAGAUAAAAUUGAUAGAAUGCCUAAGGAGUUUGAGUGCAUUGAGAAUAGAUUCAUAUCAGUUCUGGAGAACUGGGUGGAUACAUUAAUGUUAAGUACAUAGAAAAGUUAAAAAUGAAAAAAAUUCUCAAUUCUAGGGAAAAUAAUCAUAGUAAACUACAUGUUUUAGUUACCAAUAGUGUUUACGUAGUCAAUAUAAACAAUGGGCAUUGAUAUAAAUAAUGUAUGUUGAUCUGCUAUAACAAGACUAACCAGAAUUGGCUACAGUUUCUUCAAGAAAAUACCCCAAUGGAAGAAAAAAAGGUGGAGGGAGAAACUGAAUGAAGAAAGGAUGAUUUGAAAUUACCAGAAAGUGGAACGUGGAAAAAACAGAGUAAAACUAGUUUGAGAAUAAAAUCUUAGGUUGUAACAUCUUCUGGGAAUUUAUUCUUUAAAUAUUGCUUUUAACUGGAUUCUUUGGUAAAUAGUAAAUGCAUUUUGGUUUUGAUUUAAGCAGCUCAUUCUUUUGUUUCUUCACUUCUCCAAUAAACUUGCUCUCACUUAAAAAAUGCCUUGUAGAACAACUCAUGAUAAUUAUUACUGUUGGGAAAUAGGAGAAACAUAUUGUAUUAGUCAGAAUUUUACAGAGAAACAGAACCAAUAGGAGAUAUCUAUCUAUCUAUCUAUCUAUCUAUCUAUCUAUCUAUCUAUCUACCUAUCUAUCAUCUAUCUAAAUAUAUGACUAUAGAUAUAGAUGAGGGGAUUUAUUAUAGGAAGUGGCUCAUAUGGUUACGGAGGCUAAGAAGUGCCAUGGCCUGCUAUCUGCAAACUGGAGAACCAUAAAUUCUGGUGGUGUGAUUCAGUGCAAGUCAAAAAAGGCCUGAGAAUCAGAGGGCUGUUGGGUAUAAAUCCAAAAGCCCAAAAACCACUUGUGUCAAUGUCCAAAGGUAGGAGAAAAUGAAUAUCUCAGCUCAAGCAGAGAAAGUAAACUUGCCCUUCCUCUGCCUUUUUGUUCUAUUCAGGCCCUCAAUGGAUUGAAUGAUGCCCACAGAUAUUUGUGAGAGCAGAUCUUCCUUACUCAGUCUACUGAUUUAAAUGCUAAUCUCUUCUAGAAACAGUCUCAUACUUGUACCCAGAAAUAAUAUUUAGCAGCUCUCUAGAUAUCCCUUAGCCUAGUCAAGUUGACACACAAAAGUAACCAUCACAGAUAUUUUAUUUGGCAAUUGUAUUAAAAUUAAACAAUUUUAUAUCCUCCCAAAAAGGAGAGGAAUAACUUUAGUGACUUUCUGUGUUUCAGAGUAUUGAGAAUCUAUACUUAAGGAAAUGGCUCUUAUUUAUAGGAAAUAGUUUGCUAUAUUUGAUCUUAAAACACCUAGCUUUGCAAACUGUUAAACCCAAACACUGUUGUCUCAAUCCGAAAAUGUGGAACAGUAACUCACAUUGGUAAAUUUUGGUUACACAUGUCAUUAAGGUAGUUACUUACCUUUAUGUGUCUGUUCAUUUAUCCUACUGAUGUUUAUUACAUACCUAUUAUUUGUUAGACUCUAUACUAGUGCCUGGGUUUCAGUACUUAAGAAAAUAGACAAAAUCUCUACUCUUGAGAUGUUUAUAGUCUAGUUUUAGAAUGGGCACUUUUUGGGGUUGUUAAUCAACUUUCUUUUUUAAUCAAUUUGAUGUCCAUUCAGAUUGUAUAAAUUGAGACCCUGUAGGGAACUGUUUGAGUAUGGGGUUGGGGGGAUUGAUGGAGGACAACAAAAUGUUCACUAUAUAGACAUCAAAAAUUAUUUAAAAUAUUCAUAAUUUUGUUCAUUGAUGUGGAACAGUGUUCAUAUUUUGAUUCUGGUUAAAAAUGAAAUUAAUAUGGCAAAUUGAGAAGACUGGGAAAUUUGUGAAUAUAUAUGCAUAUUUAUAGAUGCAAAAAUAAAUAUAUAUUUGCCACACACAUACAUAUACACAUGCACAAAUACUGUGUAAAUAUUCUUAAUUAGCUAUUUUGCCAGAUCUGGCCCCAGUGCUUAUUUAACUAUCCCCAGGAAUUUUAGCAUAUAGAAGAUAUUUUAAACUACACAAAAUAAACAGAAGCAUAGUUUAUCACUUUUAUAAGUUAAUUGCAAUAUUGAUAUGUAAUUAACUCUAAUGAAUUCAACAGUCAUAAAUCAUUCAAUUGAUUUUUAAAACCAAUCAUUGUCCCACUUAACUAAUUGCUGAUGGUCAUUUGCAUUUCAUAAAUGUUACUACUGUCUGUGAAUGUACCCAUGUUGUGCUAAUGCUAGUUUUAUCUGUGAACUGAGAUUGGAAGUUAUAGCACUGGUUUUGGUCCUUGGGCCUGAAUUAUUUUUGAAAAUACUAAGAUUGGUUACCUAGACAAGUUUUCUCUUCUGAAAACUGCAUUUUCUUACUAACUUAGUAGACAAAUCCAAAUUUUGCUAUCAAUUAGCAGAAGUUUUUAAGCGCAGUUCUCAAAGUAGUUCUCUUUUUCAGCAAGUCUGCAAGGUCAAAAAUGUUGCAUAUUAAUACUCAGAAUAAUUUUUCACUUUUCACCUCCAGAGACUACAUAAAGUGAUGACAUUAUGGCUCUUAUGUUAAUAUGUUGAGUUUAUUAUGAUUUUUAAAUAAAUGAAUGAAUACAUAUGUAGAUAUUUUCUCAGUUUUAAUGUCUAAUGUGAUAAUGAGUGAUAGGAUGCACAUAAGCAAAAUCUCCUUGGGAUCUUCCAUAAUUUUGAAGAUGAUAAAGGGAUCCUGAGAUCAGGAAACUUGAGUAUUAGUGGCUUAGGGUAAUGUAAACAGUUAUUUCAGGAAGUUAGUGUUCACAGUAUAAAAUUCCAAAUGCACUCAUUUGGAUAUUUAUGCAUUUUUUCUGUGUCUUAUAUAGUUGCCACAGUGUGUCAUAUAAGCUAAGUAAUAAAAUGUUGUCUAAAGUGUUUUUAAAAAGUUUGCAGAAUGAUGGUUACCAGAGGCUGGGAAGAGU
rnacentral:lncRNA from 1 species